rnacentral:rRNA from 1 species
AACGAACGCUGGCGGCAUGCCUAACACAUGCAAGUCGAACGAAGGCUUCGGCCUUAGUGGCGCACGGGUGCGUAACGCGUGGGAAUCUGCCCUUGGGUUCGGAAUAACAGUUAGAAAUGACUGCUAAUACCGGAUGAUGACGAAAGUCCAAAGAUUUAUCGCCCAAGGAUGAGCCCGCGUAGGAUUAGGUAGUUGGUGGGGUAAUGGCCUACCAAGCCGACGAUCCUUAGCUGGUCUGAGAGGAUGAUCAGCCACACUGGGACUGAGACACGGCCCAGACUCCUACGGGAGGCAGCAGUGGGGAAUAUUGGACAAUGGGCGAAAGCCUGAUCCAGCAAUGCCGCGUGAGUGAUGAAGGCCUUCGGGUCGUAAAGCUCUUUUACCAGGGAUGAUAAUGACAGUACCUGGAGAAUAAGCUCCGGCUAACUCCGUGCCAGCAGCCGCGGUAA